AUGACGGCUGCUGUGGAAAGGUUGCUCUGAGGGUCAGUUGCCCGACAUGUGAGUGCCAUUCCUUGGGGCAUUUCUGCAACGGCAGCCCUCAGGCCUGCUGCGUCUAGAAGAACAAGCUUGACAAACAUAUUGUGGUCUGGUUCUGGUCAAGCAAAAUUCUUUAGCACCAGUUCCUCACACCAUGCACCUGCUGUCACCCAGCAUGCGCCCUAUUUUAAGGGUAUAGCCGUUGUCAAUGAAGAGUUCAAAGACCUAAGCCC
rnacentral:lncRNA from 1 species